CUGCAAAGGGACUUAAGUAUCAGGAUAGCAAAAUCAUAUGCCCAAAGUUUGACAGCAGGAGAAGGACUUUGGCAGUUUAUUUACCUGGUCCCCAUCUGACUCUGGAACAUCUCGACUUGACUGCAGAAAAACUGCUGAAACGCUGUCAGACAUUCAGUUGACUUAACUGGACUUCUUUCUGUAGGACCAACAGAAAACUGACUGAGGAUUACAGUCUCAAGUAUAAUGGAAACUUCAAGGGUACUUCUCUGCAGACACUUUCUUGUCCUGUACCUCCUCCAGAUGGUUACACCAAGUUCAGGUAUGAUCUUUCACUCAACUUUAUGAGGAUUAGCAGAUGAAGUUUUCCAGGAAAAACAAGGAACACACU